rnacentral:rRNA from 1 species
CGAACGGGUGAGUAACACGUGGGCAACCUGCCCUCAGCUCUGGGAUAACUCCGGGAAACCGGUGCUAAUACUGGAUAUCGACUUCUGCUCGCAUGGGUGGUUGUUGAAAGUUUUUCGGCUGGGGAUGGGCCCGCGGCCUAUCAGCUUGUUGGUGGGGUGAUGGCCUACCAAGGCGACGACGGGUAGCCGGCCUGAGAGGGCGACCGGCCACACUGGGACUGAGACACGGCCAG